rnacentral:rRNA from 1 species
GACGAACGCUGGCGGCGUGCUUAACACAUGCAAGUCGAACGGAAAGGCCCUGCUUUUGUGGGGUGCUCGAGUGGCGAACGGGUGAGUAACACGUGAGUAACCUGCCCUUGACUUUGGGAUAACUUCAGGAAACUGGGGCUAAUACCGGAUAGGAGCUCCUGCUGCAUGGUGGGGGUUGGAAAGUUUCGGCGGUUGGGGAUGGACUCGCGGCUUAUCAGCUUGUUGGUGGGGUAGUGGCUUACCAAGGCUUUGACGGGUAGCCGGCCUGAGAGGGUGACCGGCCACAUUGGGACUGAGAUACGGCCCAGACUCCUACGGGAGGCAGCAGUGGGGAAUAUUGCACAAUGGGCGGAAGCCUGAUGCAGCAACGCCGCGUGCGGGAUGACGGCCUUCGGGUUGUAAACCGCUUUCGCCUGUGACGAAGCGUGAGUGACGGUAAUGGGUAAAGAAGCACCGGCUAACUACGUGCCAGCAGCCACGGUGAUACGUAGGGUGCGAGCGUUGUCCGGAUUUAUUGGGCGUAAAGGGCUCGUAGGUGGUUGAUCGCGUCGGAAGUGUAAUCUUGGGGCUUAACCCUGAGCGUGCUUUCGAUACGGGUUGACUUGAGGAAGGUAGGGGAGAAUGGAAUUCCUGGUGGAGCGGUGGAAUGCGCAGAUAUCAGGAGGAACACCAGUGGCGAAAGGCGGUUCUCUGGGCCUUUCCUGACGCUGAGGAGCGAAAGCGUGGGGAGCGAACAGGCUUAGAUACCCUGGUAGUCCACGCUGUAAACGGUGGGUACUAGGUGUGGGGUCCAUUCCACGGGUUCCGUGCCGUAGCUAACGCUUUAAGUACCCCGCCUGGGGAGUACGGCCGCAAGGCUAAAACUCAAAGGAAUUGACGGGGCCCCGCACAAGCGGCGGAGCAUGCGGAUUAAUUCGAUGCAACGCGUAGAACCUUACCUGGGUUUGACAUGGAUCGGGAGCGCUCAGAGAUGGGUGUGCCUCUUUUGGGGUCGGUUCACAGGUGGUGCAUGGCUGUCGUCAGCUCGUGUCGUGAGAUGUUGGGUUAAGUCCCGCAACGAGCGCAACCCUUGUUCACUGUUGCCAGCACGUUAUGGUGGGGACUCAGUGGAGACCGCCGGGGUCAACUCGGAGGAAGGUGGGGAUGACGUCAAGUCAUCAUGCCCCUUAUGUCCAGGGCUUCACGCAUGCUACAAUGGCUGGUACAGAGAGUGGCGAGCCUGUGAGGGUGAGCGAAUCUCGGAAAGCCGGUCUCAGUUCGGAUUGGGGUCUGCAACUCGACCUCAUGAAGUCGGAGUCGCUAGUAAUCGCAGAUCAGCAACGCUGCGGUGAAUACGUUCCCGGG